rnacentral:rRNA from 1 species
CACCUCUAGCAUUACUAGUAUUAGAGGCACUGCCUGCCCAGUGACGCACGUUUAACGGCCGCGGUACCUUGACCGUGCAAAGGUAGCAUAAUCACUUGUUCUUUAAAUAGGGACUCGCAUGAAUGGCAACACGAGGGUUUAACUGUCUCUUACUUUCAACCAGUGAAAUUGACCUGUCCGUGAAGAGGCGGAUAUAUAAUAAUAAGACGAGAAGACCCUAUGGAGCUUUAAUUUAUUAAUGCAACCAAGAAUCAUACAAACCUACGGAUUUUUAAAUCUCUACACCUGCAUUAAAAAUUUUGGUUGGGGUGACCUCGGAGCACAACCAAACCUCCGAAGAAUCCAUGCCGAGACCACACAAGCCAAAGUGAACUAACAUUUACAAUUGAUCCAAUAAUUUGAUCAGCGGAACAAGUUACCCUAGGGAUAACAGCGCAAUUCUAUUCUAGAGUCCAUAUCGACAACAGAGUUUACGACCUCGAUGUUGGAUCAGGACAUCCUAAUGGUGCAGCAGCUAUCAAGGGUUCGUUUGUUCAACGAUUAAAGUCCU